rnacentral:sRNA from 1 species
GUAUUUUUUUGCUAUACAAAAUGUUAAUAUAAAUAUUUGCUAUAAAUCGAAUUUAUGCAUAUUUGUGGAGUAAGAUUCACGGAAUUUUGUUUUUGAAGAUAUAUGAAAAGAUUGUGUAGAGAUUUUUAGAAACAAAUUAGGCAAGAUAUCGUUUGGUUAAUAUCUUUUUAAAUUUUGUAAAACUAAAUAAUAAAUGUGAGUGGCAGCCAUUAUAAAUAAGUCCCAACUCCACGAUUUAUUUCACAAAAUGGCUGCAAAAAUGUAUAUGUAGAUAUAUUGACAACAACGGAUCCAUAAACAUUUUCUUAGUAUAU